GACGAACGCUGGCGGCGUGCCUAAUACAUGCAAGUCGAGCGCAGGAAAUCGACGGAACCCUUCGGGGGGAAGUCGACGGAAUGAGCGGCGGACGGGUGAGUAACACGUAAAGAACCUGCCCUCAGGUCUGGGAUAACCACGAGAAAUCGGGGCUAAUACCGGAUGGGUCAUCGGACCGCAUGGUCCGAGGAUGAAAGGCGCUUCGGCGUCGCCUGGGGAUGGCUUUGCGGUGCAUUAGCUAGUUGGUGGGGUAAUGGCCCACGAAGGCGACGAUGCAUAGCCGACCUGAGAGGGUGAUCGGCCACACGGGGACUGAGAAACGGCCCAGACUCCUACGGGAGGCAGCAGUAGGGAAUCUUCCACAAUGGACGAAAGUCUGAUGGAGCAACGCCGCGUGAACGAUGAAGGCCUUCGGGUCGUAAAGUUCUGUUGUAAGGGAAGAACAAGUGCCGCAGGCAAUGGCGGCACCUUGACGGUACCUUGCGAGAAAGCCACGGCUAACUACGUGCCAGCCGCCGCAGUAAGAC
rnacentral:rRNA from 1 species